rnacentral:rRNA from 1 species
AUUGAACGCUGGCGGCAUGCCUUACACAUGCAAGUCGAACGGUAACAGGUCUUCGGAUGCUGACGAGUGGCGAACGGGUGAGUAAUACAUCGGAACGUGCCUAGUAGUGGGGGAUAACUACUCGAAAGAGUGGCUAAUACCGCAUGAGAUCUACGGAUGAAAGCAGGGGAUCGCAAGACCUUGUGCUACUAGAGCGGCCGAUGGCAGAUUAGGUAGUUGGUGGGAUAAAAGCUUACCAAGCCGACGAUCUGUAGCUGGUCUGAGAGGACGAUCAGCCACACGGGGACUGAGACACGGCCCAGACUCCUACGGGAGGCAGCGGUGGGGAAUUGUGGACAAUGGGCGCAAGCCUGAUCCGGCAGUGCCGCGUGCAGGAUGAAGGCCUUCGGGUUGUAAACUGCUUUUGUACGGAACGAAAAGCCCUGGGUUAAUACCCUGGGGUCAUGACGGUACCGUAAGAAUAAGCACCGGCUAACUACGUGCCAGCCGCCGCCGUAA